UGGGGAAUCUUGGACAAUGGGGGCAACCCUGAUCCAGCGACGCCGCGUGGGUGACGAAGGCCUUCGGGUUGUAAAGCCCUUUUGCCGGGGACGAUGAUGACGGUACCCGGAGAAGAAGCACCGGCUAACUCCGUGCCAGCAGCCGCGGUAAGACGGAGGGUGCUAGCGUUGUUCGGAAUUACUGGGCGUAAAGGGCGCGUAGGCGGCUGCUCAAGUCGGGUGUGAAAGCCCGGGGCUCAACCCCGGAACGGCACCCGAGACUGGGCGGCUCGAGACCGGGAGAGGUGGGUGGAAUACCCAGUGUAGAGGUGAAAUUCGUAGAUAUUGGGUGGAACACCGGUGGCGAAAGCGGCUCACUGGCCCGGUUCUGACGCUGAGGCGCGAAAGCGUGGGGAGCAAACAGGAUUAGAUACCCCCGUAGUCC
rnacentral:rRNA from 1 species